UACGGGGGGGGGCAAGCGUUGUUCGGAAUUACUGGGCGUAAAGGGCUCGUAGGCGGCCAACUAAGUCCGACGUGAAAUCCCCAGGCUUAACCUGGGAACUGCGUCGGAUACUGGAUGGCUUGAAUUCGGGAGAGGGAUGCAGAAUUCCAGGUGUAGCGGUGAAAUGCGUAGAUAUCUGGAGGAACACCGGUGGCGAAGGCGGCGUCCUGGACCAACACUGACACUGAAAAGCGAAAGCCAGGGGAGCAAACGGG
rnacentral:rRNA from 1 species